rnacentral:rRNA from 1 species
UGCCUACGGGGGGCAGCAGUGGGGGCUUUUGGACUUUGUGGGGAACCCUGCUCCAGCGACGCCGCGUGAGUGAAGAAGUAUUUCGGUAUGUAAAUCUCUGUCAGCAGGGAAGAAAGCAAUGACGGUACCUGACCAAGAAGCCCCGGCUAACUACGUGCCAGCAGCCGCGGUAAUACGUAGGGGGCAAGCGUUAUCCGGAAUUACUGGGUGUAAAGGGAGCGUAGACGGCUGUGCAAGUCUGGAGUGAAAGGCGGGGGCCCAACCCCCGGACUGCUCUGGAAACUGUAUGGCUG